UAAAUUUCUAAUGCUAGGAAGGCAUGACGAUGCAACCAGCAGUAGAGCUAAACUCUGAGCAUUAAAUGAGAAACAAUAGUGCCUCUUGUUAUUUGCAUUGCAUUUUCAAUAAAAGUAAGUGUUUUCUAAUGACAUUUCAUGCUUCUGUGCGAGGAUACCCGAAUCCUGGAAAAAGAACACCCCAAAAGAGACGUUGGCAAAUGGGUGGCACAGAUGAUGCGGUGGAUUUGUACGGCUCUG
rnacentral:misc_RNA from 1 species